rnacentral:lncRNA from 1 species
GAGAAACAGGUUCGUGAGGAUUGUCUUAGCGAUGGCGGCGACUUCCAUGACCCGGGCUGGGGGCCUGCUUGCCCUGGAGCGCGCGCAGCGUGUAACCAAGUCCACCGGCGCCGUGAGCUCCAGGACAUUCCUGGGUAACGUGAAUGGCCUCCGUGCUACCGCGGCGCCAGUGCACGCAUUGCAGGCGAAGAACUUGACGGUGCGAGCUGGAGCCGAGAAGUACCAGGUCAUCGAGCCCCUCAACGGCGACCCCUUCAUCGGUGGAUUCGAGACGCCCGUGACUAGCAGCCCCCUGAUUGCCUGGUAUCUCUCUAACCUGCCCGCUUACCGCACCGCUGUUGCUCCCUUGUUGAGGGGUGUCGAGAUCGGACUCGCCCACGGGUACCUUUUGGUGGGUCCUUUUGUGCUCACUGGACCGUUGAGGAACUCCGCUGUUAGGGGCGAGGCAGGAAGUCUCGCCGCUGCCGGUCUCGUUACUAUCCUCACCAUGUGCCUGACGAUCUACGGCAUUGCUUCCUUCAAGGAAGGUGAGC